CUAACAGGUUUCCGUAGGUGAACCUGCGGAAGGAUCAUUAAUAAUGCCCUCUGACGCAAGUCAUUGGGUUAGAUCUGCUCUCUUCGCAAGAAGAGGGUUUCCAUACACACCGUGAACUGUGGCUUCGGCCAUCACAAACUGUUAGUAAUGAAUGUAAUAUCAUAACAAAAACAAAACUUUUAACAACGGAUCUCUUGGCUCUCGCAUCGAUGAAGAACGCAGCGAAAUGCGAUAAGUAAUGUGAAUUGCAGAAUUCAGUGAAUCAUCGAAUCUUUGAACGCACCUUGCGCCCUUUGGUAUUCCGAAGGGCAUGCCUGUUUGAGUGUCAUGAAACCUCACCCCACUUGGGUUUUUGCCUGAGCGGUGGUGUAUUGGGUGUUGCCUUGCUAAAGGCUCGCCUUAAAGACAUAAGCACCUUGGAUGUAAUACGUUUCAUCCUUCUGGGUGGCUGAUAACCCCACAUAUUCAUGAUCUGGCCUCAAAUCAGGUAGGGCUACCCGCUGAACUUAAGCAUAUCA
rnacentral:rRNA from 1 species